GAUCGUAAGGACAUGUGGAGCGCUUAGAAGUGAGAAUGCCGGUGUGAGUAGCGAAAGACGGGUGAGAAUCCCGUCCACCGAUUGACUAAGGUUUCCAGAGGAAGGCUCGUCCGCUCUGGGUUAGUCGGGUCCUAAGCUGAGGCCGACAGGCGUAGGCGAUGGAUAACAGGUUGAUAUUCCUGUACCACCUAUAAUCGUUUUAAUCGAUGGGGGGACGCAGUAGGAUAGGCGAAGCGUGCGAUUGGAUUGCACGUCUAAGCAGUAAGGCUGAGUAUUAGGCAAAUCCGGUACUCGUUAAGGCUGAGC
rnacentral:rRNA from 1 species